CGCAUAAUGCAGCGGCACCUAAUGGUGACAGUUGUUAAAGCGGGGUUAGUCGCAAGACCCUCGCGCCUGAAGAGGAGCCCGCGGCGGAUUAGCUAGUUGGCAGGGUAACGGCCUACCAAGGCGACGAUCCGUAGCCGGCCUGAGAGGGCGGUCGGCCACACUGGCACUGACAUACGGGCCAGACUCCUACGGGAGGCAGCAGUCGGGAAUUUUGGGCAAUGGGCGAAAGCCUGACCCAGCAACGCCGCGUGAAGGAUGAAGCUUUUCGGAGUGUAAACUUCACAAGAAUGGGAAGAAUAAGUGGGGGAUAAUACCCCCCAUGAUGACGGUACCAUUUGUAAGCUCCGGCUAACUCCGUGCCAGCAGCCGCGGUAAUACGGGGGGAGCAAGCGUUGUUCGGAUUUACUGGGCGUAAAGGGCGCGUAGGCGGCGCAACAAGUCACUUGUGAAAUCUCCGGGCUUAACUCGGAGCGGCCAAGUGAUACUGUCGUGCUAGAGUGCGGAAGGGGCUACUGGAAUUCUCGGUGUAGCGGUGAAAUGCGUAGAUAUCGAGAGGAACACCUGCGGCGAAGGCGGGUAGCUGGGCCGACACUGACGCUGAGGCGCGAAAGCCAGGGGAGCGAACG
rnacentral:rRNA from 1 species